UACGAAGGGGGCUAGCGUUGCUCGGAAUCACUGGGCGUAAAGCGCACGUAGGCGGAUUGUUAAGUCAGGGGUGAAAUCCUGGAGCUCAACUCCAGAACUGCCUUUGAUACUGGCGAUCUUGAGUCCGGGAGAGGUGAGUGGAACUGCGAGUGUAGAGGUGAAAUUCGUAGAUAUUCGCAAGAACACCAGUGGCGAAGGCGGCUCACUGGCCCGGUGCUGACGCUGAGGUGCGAAAGCGUGGGGAGCAAACGGG
rnacentral:rRNA from 1 species